AAAGCUCGUAGUUGAAUUUCGAGAUCAGUACGCUGGUCGUGCCUUCGGUAUGCACUGGUGUCACUGGUUUCUCCCUUCUGAAGAACCGUCAUGUCAUUAAGUUGGUGUGGCGGGGAAUCAGGACUGUUACUUUGAAAAAAUUAGAGUGUUUAAAGCAGGCUCGCGCUUGAAUACAUUAGCAUGGAAUAAUGAAAUAGGACGUUUGACCCUAUUUUGUUGGUUUCUAGGAUCGACGUAAUGAUUAAUAGGGAUAGUUGGGGGCAUUAGUAUUCAAUUGUCAGAGGUGAAAUUCUUGGAUUUAUUGAAGACUAACUACUGCGAAAGCAUUUGCCAAGGAUGUUUUCAUUAAUCAAGAACGAAAGUUAGGGGAUCGAAGACGAUCAGAUACCGUCGUAGUCUUAACCAUAAACUAUGCCGACUAGGGAUCGGAUGAUGUUAAUUUUUUAAUGACUCAUUCGGCACCUUACGGGAA
rnacentral:rRNA from 1 species